rnacentral:rRNA from 1 species
CCGUGUACGUACAAGCAGUAGGAGCAGGCUUUGUCCUGUGACUGCGUACCUUUUGUAUAAUGGGUCAGCGACUUAUAUUCAGUGGCAAGGUUAACCAUCUAGGGGAGCCGUAGGGAAACCGAGUCUUAACUGGGCGUUCAGUCUCUGGAUAUAGACCCGAAACCAGGUGAUCUAGCCAUGGGCAGGUUGAAGGUUGAGUAACAUCAACUGGAGGACCGAACCGACUAAUGUUGAAAAAUUAGCG